rfam:Cajanus cajan chromosome 8, whole genome shotgun sequence.
GCCUCUGAGGAUGAUCUGAAAUUUAACUUGUUUUUCCGAGCCAUUCAUGAGGAAAAUACAUGGAGACCUGAACUGAAGAGGC